AUUGAACGCUGGCGGCAGGCCUAACACAUGCAAGUCGAGCGGAUGAAGGGAGCUUGCUCCUGGAUUCAGCGGCGGACGGGUGAGUAAUGCCUAGGAAUCUGCCUGGUAGUGGGGGAUAACGUCCGGAAACGGGCGCUAAUACAGCAUACGUCCUGAGGGAGAAAGUGGGGGAUCUUAGGACAUCACGCUAUGAGAUGAGCCUAGGUCGGCUUAGCUAGUUGGUGGGGGAAAGGCCUACCAAGGCGACGAUCCGUAACUGGUCUGAGAGGAUGAUCAGUCACACUGGAACUGAGACACCGUCCAGCCUCCUACGGGAGGCAGCAGUCGGGAAUAUUGGACAAUGGUCGAAAGCCUGAUCCAGCCAUGCCGCGUGUGUGACGCAGGUCUUCGGAUUGUAAAGCACUUUUAGUUGGGAGGAAGGGCAGUAAGUUAAUACCUUGCUGUUUUGACGUUACCAACAGAAUAAGCACCGGCUAACUUCGUG
rnacentral:rRNA from 1 species